ACGGGGUGCAGCAGGCGCGAAACCUUUGCAAUGUGCGCAAGCACGACAAGGUUAAUCCGAGUGUUUCCUGCUAAAGGAAUCUUUUGUUAGUCGUAAAACCACUGAUGAAUAAGGGGUGGGCAAGUUCUGGUGUCAGCCGCCGCGGUAAAACCAGCACCUCAAGUGGUCAGGAGGAUUAUUGGGCCUAAAGCAUCCGUAGCCGGCUCUGCAAGUUUUCGGUUAAAUCCAUUUGCUUAACAAAUGGGCUGCCGAAAAUACUACAUAGCUAGGGAGUGGGAGAGGUAGACGGUAUUCGGUAGGAAGGGGUAAAAUCCUUUGAUCUAUUGAGGACCACCUAUGGCGAAGGCAGUCUACCAGAACACGUUCGGCGGUGAGGGAUGAAAGCUGGGGGAGCAAACCGGGUUAGAUACCCGGGUAGUCCCAGCUGUAAACGAUGCAGACUCGGUGAUGCACUGGCUUGUGGCCAGUGCAGUGCCGCAGGGAAGCCGUUAAGUUUGCCGCCUGGGAAGUACGUACGCAAGUAUGAAACUUAAAGGAAUUGGCGGGGGAGCAC
rnacentral:rRNA from 2 species